AGAGAGAGACAUGCGCGCAUAUCAAUAAGCGGAGGAAAAGAAACUAACAAGGAUUCCCUCAGUAACGGCGAUGUGAAGGCGGGAAGAGCUCAAAUUUGAAAUCUUCAAGGUUUUACCUUGACGAAUUGUAGUUUAAAGAAGUGUUUUUCUGCUGAAGUUUUGGUAAAAGUUCUUUGGAAUAGGACAUCAUAGAGGGUGAGAAUCCCGUAUUUGACCAUUAUUUUCCAGCUUUGUGAUACACUUUCAAAGAGUCGGAUUGUUUGGGAAUGCAGUCCAAAAUGGGUGGUAAAUUUCAUCUAAAGCUAAAUAUUGGCGAGAGACCGAUAGCGAACAAGUACCGUGAGGGAAAGAUGAAAAGAACUUUGAAAAGAGAGUUAAACAGUACGUGAAAUUGUCAAAAGGGAAGCGUUUGACACCAGUGUUGUUUUCUCGAAAAUCAAUUAAAAAUGGCUCGAUUUUGUAUUGUUGAGACCUUAAAAGCCCACUGUACAUUUUUUCGUGUCUUUUUUAAUGCACUUUUCGUUUAACAAGUCAACAUCAGUUUCUUUUGUUGUAAAAGGGUCAUUGGAAGGUGGCUUUCUUUUCGGAGAAAGUGUUUAUAGCCUUUGGCCUCUGCAAUCGGAGAGAUUGAGGUCUGCAGCGUAGACUCUUCGGGGUUAGAUACAUUUGUGCUAAGUUAUAGCUUUUUAUAGACAACUUGUUGACUAUAAUUAGUCUUGUAGCUUACUCGCUUAUGCUAUUUUACCUACGCUUAGGAUGUUGAAGUCAUCGUAUCGCGC
rnacentral:rRNA from 1 species